CAACCACCUCCAUCAUCCGUGAGACAGUCUGCUGAACACUUGACGGAGUGAUCACUGAAACCAUGCUGAAGGUAGCUCUUGUGCUUGGAUGCCUCCUGAGCCUGGCUCUGGCUUCUCCGACGGAGAGGGCACAUAAACGCUUGGCACGCUCUGACUCUGGCUCUAACUCCAGAGAGACCACCACCACCACUGUGGCUGCCGGCGCCACCACCACUCUGAUGCCUCAGUUGCAGACAUUGCUGCAGUUGCUCCAGAGGCUCCUAGGCUAAACUCCUCCUAUUAAAAUACAAUCUGAAAUGUAACCAGAGAUCAAUAAGUGAACGAUAACAAAUGCAACAUGAUAAUAUCACUUUGCCAUUUUUCUCUUUUCUCCUGUUUUCUCUUCACACUUAUUCUACUCUAAUUUGGUCAAACAUGUGGAUCAAAAUGUCCUUGAUUCUCUGAGUUUUCUGCUAAAUAAAAAACAUCACCAAAAAGUA